AGGGGCCUUAAUGACUUAGAGAGGUGGAUUCUAUGGCUUUAUGGCUAAAGAGUUGGUCAAUAUCUACCUUUGAGAAUCACCUUGGCAUACCAUACGUAGGUCCUACAGAAGAUAAUUAAAGAAAAGUGAGACUUGGUACUACACAUGACACCAAGAAUAUCAUGCUGUGGCCAAAAAGUAGGACCAAGACUUAAAGAAUGCCUUAUCUUAAGAACUGUUAGUUAGAACCAUACAAAGGACCUUGUGACGAAAAAAUAUAGUACCUACCUGCUAGAUGCCUAUGUAUAAAAAGAUGUACUGAAGUGAUUACAGAUGGAGAUGUUAGUAGAUAUUGUUUUCAUAGCAUUGACAUUUUAGAAAAAUCCUGAUGGAAGGUGCUAAUUUACAGUCCGUUUCUGUUGGAUAUUUUAUUGAUUUCAGUCAAAUCAUUUCAUUUUACAUAAUGUCAACUACUGAGGUGAAAAGAAACUAACAAAAAAAUUUACAAAAUAUUUGUUAAUUUGUUGAUGUAUAAUUGCCAUUAAAUUCACAUGAAUAAAAUGAG